CCCCUAGUAACUGCGAGUGAAGCGGGAUGAGCUCAAAUUUGUAAUCUGGCCGUUCCGCGGUCCGAGUUGUAAUCUGGAGAAGUGUUUUCCGUGCUGGACCGUGUACAAGUCCCUUGGAAUAGGGCGUCAUAGAGGGUGAGAAUCCCGUCUUUGACACGGACUGCCAGUGCUCUGUGAUGCGCUCUCGAAGAGUCGAGUUGUUUGGGAAUGCAGCUCAAAACGGGUGGUAAAUUCCAUCUAAAGCUAAAUAUUGGCGAGAGACCGAUAGCGAACAAGUACCGUGAGGGAAAGAUGAAAAGCACUUUGGAAAGAGAGUAAAACAGUACGUGAAAUUGUUGAAAGGGAAACGCUUGAAGUCAGUCGCGUCUUGUGGGACUCAGCCUUGCUUCUGCUUGGUGCACUUCCCAGUUCGACGGGCCAGCAUCGUUUUCCGAGCCGGACAAACGCGUCGGGAAUGUGGCAGCUCCGGCUGUGUUAUAGCCCUUCGUUGCACAACGGCUUAGGGGAACGAGGAAUCCGGCGCAAGCCUGGGAUGCUGGCGUAAUGGCUCUAAACGACCCGUCUUGAAACACGGACCAAGGAGUGCUACGUGCUCGCGAGUGUUUGGGUGGAAAACCCGGACGCGCAAUGAAAGUGAAAGUCGAGACCCCUUCGCGGGGGGCAUCGACGCCCGAGCCCAAUGUUUUCGGAGGGCCUUGCGGUAGAGCGAGUGUGUUGCGACCCGAAAGAUGGUGAACUAUUCCUGAGGAGGGCGAAGCCAGAGGAAACUCUGGUGGAGGCUCGUAGCGGUUCUGACGUGCAAAUCGAUCGCAGGACUUGGG
rnacentral:rRNA from 1 species